CAGGCCCCCGAGUCCCCAGCCCCCACCACCCCGGCGCCGGCCCCUCUCACCCUUUCAUUCUCUGCCCGGGGCCUGGCGCGGGCCGGCGAAUCCCCGGCCUCACAUCAGAGUGAGAGGCGCUGGCAAUGGACUAGGAAGCUCGGCCGCCGCUGCUACUGCUCCCCCCUGGGCUCCGGCGAGAGCCUUUCCCUGUCAAGCAAGAGGGGUGAGGAUCAUAUUUUUAUUUUGGAAACUAAAAAGUGCUCCCAGGGUCGGUGAUUAUUAAGGGGAAAUCCCUGAAUAUACUCUCCAGCCAAGAAGGCAGGGCUGCCGGAGCUGCACAAGAAGAGGCAGCAGCCUCCUACAGCACCACUACAGGCACUGCGAGGACAUAACACCAGAGAGCCGCUCCUCUGCCCUCCGAAACGACAACUUUCCUACCAUCUUGGAGGCAGAGGAAAGGGGGGCCGGGGGGAAAAGUGCACCCGCUCCCGAUAAAGUACAAAUUUCGACUUCUCAUCUCUGGAAAAAAGUCCACACCGGCCGUCUACACCGGCGCCUGGGGGGAAAAGCGGGGAAGAAACUGGGGGUGCUUGAGAAACGUUUGCAUUUGCACCAGAGGGAAAAAUGUUUCUGCAUCUUCUGAUGGCAAGAAAUCUUUACAAGACACAGGUUUUCCGAUCUAAGUUCUGGGUCUGGUGGUCAGUUUAUAAAUUUGGACUUCAAGAGACUUCCUAGCCACUUUACUUGUCUAUUUAUUUAUACGUUUUUGUAUUGAUAUACAGAGAGAUUUAUAUGUUUCCUUAUAGAUAAAAAUUUGUGUUAUAUAUUCCCCUCCAAACUGAGAUUGCUGGAAGACAGUUGUAAAGGGAUGUCUUUUGUCUCCUUUUCUCAAAGCAAUGUAAAUAAAACCUAUUGA